CCCACCUCCUCCUCUCAAACCAACAAGUCUAACCGUUGCGUGGACGCCAUUUUUCUCCUGAUUGAACGACUGUGGAACCAGGUUGAUUAAAACAAGACUUGGUGAGCUGCAAAACUUUGUCCGACUAACAGAGCUGAAUCUGAAGGAGUUUUUGAUAGCAAGUAAGACACAGGAAGCUGUACACAGGAAGCUGUACACAGGAAGCUGAGGUACUUGUAAUGUUACUUCACAUUGUUUAUUCAAAAGUAAUGUUCCAGAGUCUAUGCACAUGUGAGUAUUAGAGCAACAUAACCUCAUAAUUAUAGUUUAGACAAGCAUCUGUCUUUCUCUAGCAUUUGCAAAAUUUGGCGUGCCAGUUAUAACAGAGGGCGUGAAGGUUGUUGACAGUUCUGGGACUGAGUUGGAUGAAGAUGUAUUUGAGGGUGUUGCUAAGGAUCCCUCAGCUGGAGUCCUAACCAUCAAUUAUGAAACUGGUUUGUUAUAUUUGCAAUUUGUGUUAGUAUUUAAAAAGCUUGCUAUUUCAUUGUGGUUAGUGUUUUUUGUCUUUCAUCUGCUUCUCUUAUGGUCAGAAUUUGUCUCCAUGGUGGAAUUGCCUGAGGAAUCUCAGCCAAGCUCAUCUGAUCCUCAGGAGACACUCAUUCGUUCAGAGACUCCUUCCGCUAAACGCCAGCACCUGGACACAGAAGCUAAGCAUUUGGUGGAAUCCAUUCUUAACAACAAACCUGGUGGCGAGCGGAUCAUGAAGGAAUAUAAUCAAAGCAAGUGCCUCACAGAUGAAACCAGAAGGAAAAUGGUUAACAUACUGGCAGCUGACAUGACAGAGAAGAUUGGAAGCUGCAAGUGGUACCGGGUAAAAACUAUUUAGAGUUCUACUGCUAGAGACAGACAAUCAUCAUAUGGAGUUGAAGGACUUUCUUAUAUUGACUAGCAUCAUCCGAAGAAGCAUCUUGUGAACAUGGGCUUGGAGGACCAGCUGCUAGACGAGAGACGCAGUUUGUUCCUGAGACUGUCCUGAGUGAAGAAGAGUGUAAGGAAGCCAUCGCACUGAUUUAAGCAUUCAGCCGAUGAGGACACAAUCAAGAAGAAGAUGAAGCUCACAUUUGACUUCCGGCGCAACAUGGUCCUCGACCCCCAACAGUCAAGCAACAUACUCUGUCUUUCCACGUUUCAAAGAUGUCAAAGGCUUGGUGGAGCAGGAUUUUGUCCUGAUGUUUGGAGAAGACGUGUCUGGCAAGUUUCUGGAGAAAUGGACGACCAUGUUCAAGAGAAAGAUCAUCCAACAAUGCAGAAAGCUUCCAACCACCUGUGACCUUAAAGAACUUCUCCUGGCAGCUGACCCUCCUGAGGAUGACACUGAAGUGGAUGAUGACAUGAGUUGGGACAGUGACCGCUCAUCCAUUUUGCUGCUGCUACAUCUGAUUCCCCCUCUGCCUUGGGUCAUAAGAGACCAGGGAAGGUGUCUUCCUCCCAAGCAGAGAAGCAUCUUGUGUUCUUCAAGAAGACGGGAACCAACAUCCAAGAACAUCUUGAUGCCAUCAUGACGAGCACACAGCCCUAUCUCCUGGCUGUGGGACGGAGGAAGAAAGUAGCUCAACAGUUCUUCAUCCUUGACAAAAAUGCCAUUGCUUGCUGGUCAACUUCCUGUCUUGGUGCUUUUGACAAACUGUUUAAGGCACAUUACGUGUUUGCCACAACAUACAAACCCAUGCUGUGCAACAUGUUUAUGUUCAUCCAAACCACUGUGUGCAAUAUAGAUGUAGGUAAAGUGAAUGAAAGUCAUUGGGUUAGGUUGCUUCACUAGUACUUGAGAAAAUCUGUUGGGUAUGAAGUGUUUUGUUUGUUAGGCAGAGUUAAGUUGCACAAAUGCACUUGUUUGGUAUAUACAAGUAGUUAGUUCAUGGUUAUUUGGAUGGAAAAACUCUUUGCCUUUAAUGUACUCUGUCAGCUUCAAGCCGUCUACUGUGAUGGGAUGUACGUCGUGAUGUUACCAAAAGUUAACAGUGGAUGUUAAAAAUGUGCUUUAGUUUGAACCUCCUGCUCUAACUGCAAUUUUUGGAGUCAUAUCCCUGAAUAUUUUCCUCUCCAAGUAUAAUUCAAAUACAGCAGCUUUUGCUACGUUGAUUGCGAGACGUUUGAUGCUUUUGAGGUGGAAACAAAAGGCCCGACCCACACAUGAACAGUGGCUCUCAGAGAUCAUGAGGUUUUUGCCUUUAGAAAAGAUGAGAUGAACACUGGCAGGUUCAACUGCUACAUUUAUCAAAACAUGGCAGCCAUUUUUACAAUACAUGGAAACAUUCAAGACGACUAUCUUAUCAUAACCAAACUACUGCUGUAUUCUUUUAGUCAGCUAUGAACAGAUUUUUGCGUUUUUCACUUGUCUUUAUUUUUUUGUGUGUAUGUGUUUUUUAAAACAUUUACUUUAUUUUUAAUUUAUUUGUGUGUGUGUGUGUAAGGGUUAUGUAUGUUAAGAAAGACAGCGCUGUAUAAAACAUGAAUGCUGUAAAGAAUAUGCUGUGAAAAUUGAUAAAGUUUUUUUUAAAAAGUG